UGCUUUGUGCAGUGGCAGUAUCGUAGUCAAUAAGGUUUAUCUGAGGCUCAAUUAUUGCUAAUUAAAAACUUUUCCAAUACCCCAUUGUGAUGACUUGCAAUAUAGUCGGCACUAACAAUUUUCAACAGUCUCUAAGGAGA